rnacentral:rRNA from 1 species
CAACUUACCUUUUACUAGAGAAUAGCCAAGAGAAAUUUUGAUUAAUGCUCUAUACACUUAUUAAUUCUCAUGAAUCUAUAAGAAAAGCUCCGGCGGUAAAAGAUGGGCAUGCGUCCUAUUAGCUUGUAGGUGAGGUAACGGCUCACCUAAGCUCCGAUAGGUAGGGGUCCUGAGAGGGAGAUCCCCCACACUGGUACUGAGACACGGACCAGACUUCUACGGAAGGCAGCAGUAAGGAAUAUUGGACAAUGGAGGCAACUCUGAUCCAGCGAUGCCGCGUGAAGGAAGACGGCCCUAUGGGUUGUAAACUUCUUUUAUACAGGAAGAAACCUUUCCACGUGUGGAAAGCUGACGGUACUGUAAGAAUAAGGAUCGGCUAACUCCGUGCCAGCAGCCGCGGUAAUACGGAGGAUCCAAGCGUUAUCCGGAAUUAUUGGGUUUAAAGGGUCCGCAGGCUGUUUGUUAAGUCAGGGGUGAAACCCUACCGCUCAACGGUAGAACUGCCUUUGAUACUGGCAAACUUGAGUUAUUGUGAAGUAGUUAGAAUGUGUAGUGUAGCGGUGAAAUGCAUAGAUAUUACACAGAAUACCGAUUGCGAAAGCAGAUUACUAACAAUAUACUGACGCUGAGGGACGAAAGCGUGGGUAGCGAACAGGAUUAGAUACCCUGGUAGUCCACGCCGUAAACGAUGGUCACUAGCUGUUUGAUGUACAUUGGUACAUUGAGUGGCUAAGCGAAAGUGAUAAUGACCCACCUGGGA